rnacentral:rRNA from 1 species
UACGUAGGGUGCAAGCGUUAUCCGGAAUUAUUGGGCGUAAAGAGCUCGUAGGCGGUUUGUCGCGUCUGCUGUGAAAACCCGAGGCUCAACCUCAGGCCUGCAGUCGAUACGGGCGGACUUGAGUACUGCAGGGGAGACUGGAAUUCCUGGUGUAGCGGUGAAAUGCGCAGAUAUCAGGAGGAACACCGGUGGCGAAGGCGGGUCUCUGGGCCGUAACUGACGCUGAGGAGCGAAAGCAUGGGGAGCGAACAGG